UUUUCUCUCUCUCUUGCUUCUUGCUCUCUUUUCCUGAAGAUGUAAGAAUAAAGCUUUGCCGCAGAAGAUUCUGGUCUGUGGUGUUCUUCCUGGCCGGUCGUGAGAACGCGUCUAAUAACAAUUGGUGCCGAAUUCCGGGACGAGAAAAUCCGGGACGAGAAAAAACUCCGGACUGGCGCAGGAGGGAUACCUCAUUCCAGAACCAGAACUGCGAAUCAAGGUUAUAAGGUUCCCGUAACACAGACUGUUGAGAAGGAUUCAACUGCCGAAUUCAGAACUCAUCAGCUGGGGAACGACGGUGAUAAAGGUUCCCGUAAAGCAGACUGUUAAGAAGGAUUCAACUGUAUGAAUUCAGAACUUUUCAGCUGGGGAACGAGAGUACCAAAUGAAGACAACCCAUUUUGGGUACCAGAAAGACUCACCCGAAAAAUCCAGACUGACCAAGGGAAUACUAAUGUCCCUCGUCUUGGUGAUGUCCAGGGCGUCAAUAAUAAAGAGAGAGCAGCAUUGGGGGAUAAUGUCGACAUUUCCACUCCCAAUGACGGUGAUGUAUAAUGCUCAAGUAUUCUCCUGCUUUUUUACCACUAACUGGGAACUGGGUUUAGCCUUAAUUCAGACAGCCUUGGCUCUGUCUGGACAGGUCCAGAUGACUGACACCAUUAACACUUUGUCAGCCUCAGUGACUACAGUCAUAGAUAAACAGGCCUCAGCUAAUGUCAAGAUACAGAGAGGUCUCAUGCUGGUUAAUCAACUCAUAGAUCUUGUCCAGAUACAACUAGAUGUAUUAUGACAAAUAACUCAGCAGGGAUGUGAACAAAAGUUUCCGGGAUUGUGUGUUAUUUCCAUUCAGUAUGUUAAAUUUACUAGGGCAGCUAAUUUGUCAAAAAGUCUUUUUCAGUAUAUGUUACAGAAUUGGAUGGCUGAAUUUGAACAGACCCUUCGAGGCUUGCCAUCAUUCAGGUCAACUCCACGCGCUUGGACCUGUCCCUGACCAAAGGAUUACCCAAUUGGAUCUCCUCAGCAUUUUCUUUCUUUAAAAAAUGGGUGGGAUUAAUAUUAUUUGGAGAUACACUUUGCUGUGGAUUAGUGUUGCUUCUUUGAUUGGUCUGUAAGCUUAAGGCCUAAACUAGGAGAGACAAGGUGGUUAUUGCCCAGGCGCUUGCAGGACUAGAACAUGGAGCUCCCCCUGAUAUAUGGUUAUCUAUGCUUAGGCAAUAGGUCGCUGGCCACUCAGCUCUUAUAUCCCAUGAGGCUAGACUCAUUGCACGGGGUAGAGUGAGUGUGCUUCAGCAGCCCGAGAGAGUUGCAAGGCUAAGCACUGCAAUGGAAAGGCUCUGCGGCAUAUAUGAGCCUAUUCUAGGGAGACAUGUCAUCUUUCAUGAAGGUUCAGUGUCCUAGUUCCCUUCCCCCAGGCAAAACGACACGGGAGCAGGUCAGGGUUGCUCUGGGUAAAAGCCUGUAAGCCUAAGAGCUAAUCCUGUACAUGGCUCCUUUACCUACACACUGGGGAUUUGACCUCUAUCUCCACUCUCAUUAAUAUGGGUGGCCUAUUUGCUCUUAUUAAAAGAAAAAGGGGGAGAUGUUGGGAGCCGCCCCCACAUUCGCCGUUACAAGAUGGCGCUGACAUCCUGUGUUCUAAGUGGUAAACAAAUAAUCUGCGCAUGUGCCAAGGGUAUCUUAUGACUACUUGUGCUCUGCCUUCCCCGUGACGUCAACUCGGCCGAUGGGCUGCAGCCAAUCAAGGAGGGACACGUCCGAGGCGAAGGAGAAUGCUCCUUAAGAGGGACGGGGUUUUCGUUUUCUCUCUCUCUUGCUUCUUGCUCUCUUUUCCUGAAGAUGUAAGAAUAAAGCUUUGCCGC
rnacentral:lncRNA from 1 species